UACGUAGGAGGCAAGCGUUGUCCGGAAUUACUGGGCGUAAAGCGCGUGUAGGUGGUGGGACAAGUCUGCUGUGAAAGCGCCUGGCUUAACCGGGCGAGGUCGGCGGAAACUGUCCGACUCGAGGACGGUAGAGGGGGGUGGAAUUCCCGGUGUAGUGGUGAAAUGCGUAGAGAUCAGGAGGAACACCGAUGGCGAAGGCAGGUCUCUGGGCAUUAACUGACGCUGAGGAGCGAAAAGCAUGGGGGAGCGAACAGG
rnacentral:rRNA from 1 species